rnacentral:rRNA from 1 species
GAAUUGACGGGGGCCCGCACAAGCGGUGGAGCAUGUGGUUUAAUUCGAUGCAACGCGAAGAACCUUACCUGGUCUUGACAUCCACGGAAGUUUUCAGAGAUGAGAAUGUGCCUUCGGGAACCGUGAGACAGGUGCUGCAUGGCUGUCGUCAGCUCGUGUUGUGAAAUGUUGGGUUAAGUCCCGCAACGAGCGCAACCCUUAUCCUUUGUUGCCAGCGGUCCGGCCGGGAACUCAAAGGAGACUGCCAGUGAUAAACUGGAGGAAGGUGGGGAUGACGUCAAGUCAUCAUGGCCCUUACGACCAGGGCUACACACGUGCUACAAUGGCGCAUACAAAGAGAAGCGACCUCGCGAGAGCAAGCGGACCUCAUAAAGUGCGUCGUAGUCCGGAUUGGAGUCUGCAACUCGACUCCAUGAAGUCGGAAUCGCUAGUAAUCGUGGAUCAGAAUGCCACGGUGAAUACGUUCCCGGGCCUUGUACACACCGCCCGUCACACCAUGGGAGUGGGUUGCAA